CUUAUAAUCAUGGCAGAAAGCAAAGGGGGAGCUGGUAUCUCACAUGGCAGAGCAGGAACAAAGUCGGGGGAGGGGUGUCACACUUAAUCAACCAGAUCUCAAGAGAACUCACUAUCUUGAGGACAGCACCAAGCCAUGAGGGAUCUGCCCCAUGACCCAAACAUCUUGCACCUGGCCCCAUCUUCAACAGUGGAGAUUACAUCUCAACAUGAGAUUUGGUGGGACAUUCAAACUAUAUCACAAGGAGAGUGAAAAUCUUGAUUGUUCCACCAUCUUAAUGAUGGGAUUUUGCCUGGGUUUAAGAAUGAGGUCCUGGAGUCAGGCACACCACAUUGAUAUCCCUGUUCCACCACUUACUCGUCCUGUGGCCUUGGCCAAGCACCUUGGCCCCUCUGAGCCUCCCUGCUGUCACCUACAAAGUUAGGACAACAGUAGUGCCUGCCACACUUCUACACAAGAUAAUGUAGGCAAUGUGCUGUCACAUAAUAAAGGCUCAAUAAAUGUAAGCCAUUUUUAUUAAAAGUAGCAAGCCAGCUCUUUAGGGCUUUAAACAGACCAGGUGAGAUGCAAACAGUGGACUUCUGCCAGCAAAACUGUGGGACCCAUCAGACCAGCUGAGCCCAGGGAGGAAAAACACAGCUGGGAGAGCUGGCAGGAAGAUGCCUGCACCUUUCAGGGGUAUGGAAGGGAAAGGCUUAUGGAGGCCACAUUGAAAUGGUGGAGUGGAUGAGAAAACAAGAAGGGGGAAAAGAGGGAGCUCCAGAAAGAGAGUUGGAGUGAGCUGGGGGGAAGCACAGUGUGUGGAGACAGGAAUGGACAUAUGAAGUGUGACAGGAAGAUUAUGGGCUGCUGAGAGCUGGAGUGGACGGUGAGGAGAGAGAUGGACAGCAAUCAAGUACAAGGCUGCUCUUUGGUCAUUAAAGAGCGAAGCCAGCAACCCGUUUGCAGGCUGUCCAUCUGUCUGUCUUGGAAGCAACUGACAAUAAAUAUUUUAGUGAAAAUAUAGUCAUACCUGUUAAACAUAAGGGUGAAAAAAAUCAUAUUUUAAUAAGGCUAUGCUACUUUUUCUGAAAGGGUAUUAAAGGAGGUGUUUACAGGAUUUAUCCUACUCUGAGGGCUAUAUGAACAGCUAUUUGAAGCCCAGUGUUAGAUAGCGGGAAGUCGUCUGAUGCAGCCUUGGAAAAUCACAGCUUUUUCACUCCAAAUAAAAUUCUAAUUGUACCU